rnacentral:rRNA from 1 species
AUUGAACGCUGGCGGCAGGCCUAACACAUGCAAGUCGAACGGUAACAGGAAGCAGCUUGCUGCUUCGCUGACGAGUGGCGGACGGGUGAGUAAUGUCUGGGAAACUGCCUGAUGGAGGGGGAUAACUACUGGAAACGGUAGCUAAUACCGCAUAACGUCGCAAGACCAAAGAGGGGGACCUUAGGGCCUCUUGCCAUCGGAUGUGCCCAGAUGGGAUUAGCUAGUAGGUGGGGUAACGGCUCACCUAGGCGACGAUCCCUAGCUGGUCUGAGAGGAUGACAAGCCACACUGGAACUGAGACACGGUCCAGACUCCUACGGGAGGCAGCAGUGGGGAAUAUUGCACAAUGGGCGCAAGCCUGAUGCAGCCAUGCCGCGUGUAUGAAGAAGGCCUUCGGGUUGUAAAGUACUUUCAGCGGGGAGGAAGGGAGUAAAGUUAAUACCUUUGCUCAUUGACGUUACCCGCAGAAGAAGCACCGGCUAACUCCGUG